rnacentral:lncRNA from 1 species
GUCUGACGUCACAAAAGACGUUACUGAAUGAAACCUUUCCAAACAACUGAAAGCGUCAUUUAGAAUAGCAUUGGCUUUUAAUCUAAAGUGUUUUUUUCGUGUUUCCUUAGUAAAUUGGGCAUUUGCUUCUUUAUUUACACAGAGUGAAUAUUAUCUCAAACCAUUUUGUGAAUUUCUGCAGUUUAACAAGAAGGGCUACGAAUCAUGUUAUUCUUAUCUCCUCUAUUUGUGAGUUUUUGGAAAACGACAAUAGAAUAAUUAAAAGGGGUGAAAAUGCGCUGCACUCAAAUCAUAUUAAAAAAAUGCAAUAUGAUUCAACGCUGGGUAUCAUUAGAGGAGAAGUCCUAGCGAGUAUGAAGGACAAAGUGUACAAUGUAGAGAUCAAUCUUGAUACUGA